rnacentral:rRNA from 1 species
UACUCGAGUGGCGAACGGGUGAGUAACACGUGGGUGAUCUGCCCUGCACUUCGGGAUAAGCUUGGGAAACUGGGUCUAAUACCGGAUAGGACCGCACUUUAGUGUGUGUGGUGGAAAGUUUUUUCGGUGUAGGAUGAGCUCGCGGCCUAUCAGCUUGUUGGUGGGGUAAUGGCCUACCAAGCGGCGACGGGUAGCCGGCCUGAGAGGGUGUACGGCCACAUUGGGACUGAGAUACGGCCCAG